rnacentral:piRNA from 1 species
UGCUCUUUGGGAUGAUUAUGGGAAUGGAAU